GUGCUCGCUUCAGCAGCACAUAUACUAAAAUUGGAACGAUACAGAGAAGAUUAGCAUGGCCCCUGUGCAAGGAAUAAAUGUAUAAGUAGAUAUAUACUGAGUUCCU